rnacentral:rRNA from 1 species
GACGAACGCUGGCGGCGUGCUUAACACAUGCAAGUCGAACGGAAAGGCUCCAGCUUGCUGGAGUACUCGAGUGGCGAACGGGUGAGUAACACGUGGGUAAUCUGCCCUGCACUCUGGGAUAAGCCUGGGAAACUGGGUCUAAUACUGGAUAUGACCUUUCUCCCUAUGGGGUUUGGUGGAAAGUUUUUCGGUGUAGGAUGAGCCCGCGGCCUAUCAGCUUGUUGGUGGGGUGAUGGCCUACCAAGGCGACGACGGGUAGCCGGCCUGAGAGGGUGAUCGGCCACAUUGGGACUGAGAUACGGCCCAGACUCCUACGGGAGGCAGCAGUGGGGAAUAUUGCACAAUGGGCGGAAGCCUGAUGCAGCGACGCCGCGUGAGGGAUGACGGCCUUCGGGUUGUAAACCUCUUUCAGCAGGGACGAAGCGUAAGUGACGGUACCUGCAGAAGAAGCACCGGCUAACUAUGUG